UGCGCUGUCAUGGCGUAAUUUCCCUUGGUCUUCUUUGAAAAACACAAGUAUUGUUAAAAAGUGAAGUUUCUGAAAAUUCUGUGCAAAGCAAUUUAAAAAAUUUGAUUCGAAGAAGAACGCGGGCAUUAUUGUUGACUAGGGCAAAAAGUUCGCGUAAUAUAAAAUGAGUGAAUUCUUUAAAUCUGCAAUGGGCUACUUCAAUACAGCCCCAAACCCGAAUACAGUGGCAGAUUCUGUCCUUGGAAAUUCUGGCAGCGUGUCUCCUAGUGAAAACAUAACGACAAACGAGUUCUGUGGCCAAGUUGUUGAGGUAGCAGGUCAAAAGCUCGGUGUAAAGCGUGUUAUUGCAGAAGGCGGUUUUGCAUUUGUAUAUGUCGCUCAAGAUGUUCAGACGGGAAAAGAAUACGCCCUCAAACGUCUCAUUGGCACUGAUAAGCAAGCUUGCAAUGCUAUCAUUAAUGAAAUUAACACACACAAACAGCUUUCUGGUCAUCCAAAUAUUGUUGCAUUUGUUGGAGCAGCAUUUGUUGAUAAAACAACUGGACCUCAACAGCGUGCUGAAUACUUGCUAUUAACGGAGCUUUGUAAUGGAGGAUCGCUUAUAGAUUGCUUGAAUGCAUCACUAGAACCUGCUUUGGUGCUACGUGUUUUCUACCAAGCCUGUCGAGCAGUGGCUCAUAUGCACAGUCAGUCUCCACCUAUGACACAUCGCGAUAUUAAGAUUGAAAACUUUCUAAUUGGAAAUGAUAAACUACUUAAACUUUGUGACUUUGGAUCAGCAACUAAAGACACAUAUGCCCCGACUGUUGAUUGGGGAGCUAAACAACGAAAUCUUCUGGAGGAUAAGCUCAGCUCUGUUACAACACCAAUGUAUCGUGCACCUGAAAUGUUGGACACCUGGUCAAAUUAUGAAAUUGGUAUAAAGGUGGAUGUUUGGGCUUUGGGUUGCGUAUUAUAUGCUUUAUGUUUUCAAAAACAUCCUUUUGAAGAUUCAGCUAAAUUGCGGAUCGUAAAUGGGAACUAUAUUUUACCUACCGAUCCUCGUUUUCACUGUUUUCAUGAAAUAAUCAAAGGGUGUCUAACUGUGAAUCCAGCGCUUCGCUUUAAUAUUUCGACGGUUCUAGAACGUCUGGCAUCUAUAGCGGAAACAAAAAAUUGGUCGCUGAAAAGUGGUCUUGAAUUACGCGGUAAGCCUAUAGAAUCUCCCCAGCCCAGUACUCCCGUGAACGGUACAAAUACACCUCACCUUGGUGGUGGCAAUGGCACACCAGCAUCUGGAGUUGUAGAGAACAUGGGUAAAUCGAUGUUUUAUUUGGAUGACCCAUCAGGACCAAAUUCGCAGCCAGUCAGUAUUCAUCAAGCGAAUCAACAUCAAAACAAUAAUCCGACAAGUGCACAAUCGGGAAAUACUGUCACUUCUAAUAGUAGUUUGUUUUCGUCGUUGCGCGGUGGGGCAGGAAGUUUUCUAAAAAACCUUAAAGAUACUUCAUCUAAGGUAAUGCAAACGAUGCAACAAACUAUCGCGCGAACUGACUUAGAUAUCAGCUAUAUAACAUCGCGUAUUCUUGUGAUGCCUUGUCCGUCAGAAGGGUUCGAAUCUGCUUAUAAAACUAAUAAUAUUGAGGAUGUGCGAUUAUCAAUUGAAAGUCGCUUUCCACCUCAAACAGUGAGCAUAUAUAACUUUGGCCAAAGCAACUGCCCUCGAUUACCACCACCUGUGCGUACUGUCGAAGUUGGCUCUAUAUAUAUUUGCAUGCAGGCGCAUUCACCCAGCUUGCAAGGCAUGUUUUCAGUUGUCGAAGACAUGUACAGCUUUUUAGCCGCGGAUCCUAAAUCUGUUGUUAUUAUACAAACGAACGACUCAGGUGGUUGUUCUGCCGCAACGAUAGUUGCCGCGCUUCUUAUGUAUGCGAACUUAAUUCAUGAACCCGAAGACGCUGUCCAAGUUUUCGCUGUAAAACGUCACCCCAUUAACCUUAGACCAUCGGAAUUUCGUUAUUUAUAUUAUUUUGGCGAUGUUUUGCGUCCAACACCAUUGUUACCGCAUUACAAAAGUAUCAACUUAGUAUCUUUGUGUUGCCAACCCGUGCCCCGUAUGACCAAAGCACGUGAUGGAUCUCGCAUUUACAUGGAAGUCUACUGCAAUGAUCGACUAGUGCUCAGCACUUUGCAGGACUACGAAAAGAUGAGGCUGUAUUUAGCAGGACCGGGAAAAAUUAUGUUGCCCAUAAAUCUAACGGUUUGUGGAGAUCUGAUAGUGGUGCUUUAUCAUGCGCGGAAUGCACUUAAAGGCAUGGUGCGUCCUCAGAGUUUGAAGAUUUGUCAAUUUCAAAUCAACACGGGCUUUAUACCGGAACAAGAAACAUUGAUAACAUUUUCCUUGAAUGAUCUCGAUGAUUUACCGGAUGCCGAUCAGGUUCCUCAUGACUUUUCGGUUUCGCUGUCGUUGAGUUUCACAGAUAACGAAUGCCCGCCGAGUAGGAAUCCUCCUUGGUUACCAGCAAAGCCCAUAAGAAACGCACAACAUAUAUUUAGUUCGCAAUUAGAAUUCGAGGAAAUGGUGGAUAAUUUCGUGACAAAACCUAGUUCCAUUAACAAACCUACGCCUGUUAAGUCAGUUGCUUCGGUAGAUAAUGUACCCAAACUAUUGCGUUCUGAUUCAACGCCUAUUUUACCUGAUGUUACCGAAAUAAAGCAAGAGGAUGUACCUCGAAUCCAACCUCAACCAUCACCACCAAUAGACUUGCUUAAUUUAAACCAGCCCCAACCCCAGCUGCCGGUGCAAGAUCCACAAGCCACGGUUAUGCCAACGAGUGACGCUAGUUUCGAUUUGCUUGGAGCAUUCGGGGAUGAUAAUUCAUCUGGCAUCGGCUCGGCUCCAAUACCUGAUAUUUUAGAAAUUAAUGUACAACCAACUUCAAAUGCCAACCUUGAUGAUAUCUUCGGCUCAGUUGCUUCACCGGCGCCGAAAAUCAACCUGGAGUUUAAUAGUUUUUCUGUACACCAGCCGACACCAACUAGUGUAAACACUUCAGCGACGACUAAAGUAACCCCAACCUCAGCAACUGGUACUUACUUUGGCUCAGUGCCUACAUUCAACACGAAUCCCAGCAAGGAACCAUCACCACAAAAUCCCAAAGAUCCAUUUGCUGACAUUGCCAAUUUAGCCUCUGGUCUCAAUAUCAACUUCAACCCACACACGUUAGGCAGUAAAUCAACAGGUGCUACACCCAUCGGAAAUAGCCCAUAUACUACACAAUUCUCGAGUCCAACACACAACGCCAGUAGUGUGCGAACACCACAGUCACAGCAACCGGCUGCUACUGUCUCGCCGAAUCAUAUAACGUCUCCAAGUGGGGUAGGGGGUUUUGGUGCAUCCUUUGCAGCUGGUCCUACAACAUUUUCAUCGUCUUCAAGCCAAAACACAAAUCGGCCAUCACCACAAACUACUGCUGCAUCGGGAGGAUCAACUACCCAGUCGAAUAGACCAGACUAUAGUCGAUCGAAUUUCGACACACCUAAAUCGGGGCAAAACGCCGGCGCACAAGCAAAAAAUGCAGACAUUUUUGCCGACAUACUAGGAGAACAAGGCUAUAGGUUUGGCAGUAAAAUGAAUCAAGGCCCGCGGUCCAUUAACGAAAUGCGUAAGGAGGAUCUCAUUAAAGAAAUGGAUCCAGAAAAAGUAAAAAUCAUGGAAUGGACUGAAGGCAAAAAGAACAACAUAAGAGCACUCUUGUGUUCUAUGCACACAGUGCUUUGGACGGAUGCAAAAUGGACUAAAUGUGAAAUGUCUACGCUCAUUUCGCCGGCAGAUGUGAAAAAAUCUUAUAGACGUGCAUGUCUGGCUGUACACCCAGAUAAGCACAACGGCACAGAAAAUGAGAGCAUAGCUAAAUUGAUAUUUAUUGAGCUAAACAAUGCAUGGACUGAUUUUGAGAAUGACACAACGCAGCAAAAUUUAUUUACCACAUAAAAUGUGAAAUUUUAAACGCACUACCCAGCGUAAUGAUACUUUCUUUCAGUACUGCGGAAAACCAAUCUUUAGUUGCUUUGGAUAAAUUAGUUAAAAUAGGAAUAUGUACAAUUCAAUUACAUAGUUGAUAUUAUCCCACGCUUUCUUACCUAUGGUCAAUUGUCAGAAGAAGCUCUGGAAGCACGGAACAAAGACCCUAAGAUCUACAAAUGUUCUCUAUUUGCCUCGCAAGUGCAGCAGAAAAAAGAUGAAUGAAGAUAUAUUCAGUAGAAUUUUGAUCACUUCCGACCCUGUUAUAUCAAAUAUGAGAAAGCUACCCCAAAAAAAUAUUGAAGGAUUUGCCGAAAGAAGCAAAACAUUUGAUAAUUAUGGGGAACUAUAGUGAUAAUCAAGAUGUUGAUUGGGAUGGCAAUGACGCAAGCGAAGAAAUUUUUUAAACUAAUUUCUAAGCUUAAAAAACAUAUAGAGUAUUUUUACAAUUCGAGUUCAUUAAUAUAUAAAAAAUUACCUAUAAAAGACAGUG